rnacentral:rRNA from 1 species
GACGAACGCUGGCGGCGUGCUUAACACAUGCAAGUCGAACGGAAAGGCCCUGCUUUUGUUGGGUGCUCGAUUGGCGAACGGGUGAGUAACACGUGAGUAACCUCCCCUUGACUUUGGGAUAACUUCAGGAAACUGGGGCUAAUACCGGAUAUGAGCUCCUGCUGCAUGUUGGUGGUUGGAAAGAUUCGGCUGUUGUGGAUGGACUCGCGGCUUAUCAGCUUGUUGGUGGGGUAGUGGCUUACCAAGGGUUUGACGGGUAGCCGGCCUGAGAGGUUGACCGGGCACCAUGGGACUGCGAUACGGCGCAGAAGGCUACGGGAGGCAGCAGUGGAGAGUAUUGCACAAUGGGCGGAAGCCUGAUGCAGCAACGCCGCGUGCGGGAUGACGGCCUUUGGGUUGUAAACAGCUUUGGCCUGUGACGAAGCGGGAGUGACGGUAAUGGGUAAAGAAGCACCGGCUAACUACGUG